rnacentral:rRNA from 1 species
CACACCGCCCGUCACACCAUGGGAGUCGUUUGCUCCAGAAGUGCCUAAGCCGAACUCGCAAGAGAGGCAGGGCCCCAAGGAGUGAACGGUAACUGGGGUG